UUUCAACACUACUAUAUAACAAAUAAUUUGAGGAUGGUGGUGACUACAAGUGAACAGAUUGAGCAUGACGAAAUGCAAUACCUAAAUCUCAUACAGACUAUCAUAGCUAAAGGAAACAAGAAGGAGGAUAGAACAGGAACAGGUACAAUAUCCCAGUUCGGGGCCCAGAUGAGAUUCUCACUGCGGGACCAGUUCCCCCUGUUAACCACUAAACGUGUGUUUUGGAGGGGAGUGGCAGAGGAGUUGCUGUGGUUUGU